rnacentral:rRNA from 1 species
GUGUCAGCAGCCGCGGUAAGACGAACCGUCCAAACGUUGUUCGGAAUCACUGGGCUUAAAGGGCGCGUAGGCGGGCUUCCAAGUCAGGGGUGAAAUCUUUCGGCUCAACCGGAAAAGGGCCUCUGAUACUGGGAGCCUCGAGGGAGGUAGGGGUCGAUGGAACUGGUGGUGGAGCGGUGAAAUGCGUAGAUAUCACUAGGAACGCCGGUGGCGAAAGCGAUCGACUGGACCUCUUCUGACGCUGAGGCGCGAAAGCCAGGGGAGCAAACGGGAUUAGAAACCCGUGUAGUCC